AUUGAACGCUGGCGGAAUGCUUUACACAUGCAAGUCGAACGGCAGCACGGACCUCGGUCUGGUGGCGAGUGGCGAACGGGUGAGAAAUGUAUCGGAACGUGCCCAGUCGUGGGGGAUAACGUAGUGAAAAUUACGCUAAUACCGCAUACGAUCUAUGGAUGAAAGCGGGGGAUCGCAAGACCUCGCGCGAUUGGAGCGGCCGAUAUCAGAUUAGGUAGUUGGUGGGGUAAAGGCCCACCAAGCCAACGAUCUGUAGCUGGUCUGAGAGGACGACCAGCCACACUGGAACUGAGACACGGUCCAGACUCCUACGGGAGGCAGCAGUGGGGAAUUUUGGACAAUGGGCGAAAGCCUGAUCCAGCCAUUCCGCGUGCAGGAUGAAGGCCCUCGGGUUGUAAACUGCUUUUGUACAGAACGAAAAGGUUUCUACUAAUACUAGGAGCUCAUGACGGUACUGUAAGAAUAAGCACCGGCUAACUACGUGCCAGCCGCCGCAGUAA
rnacentral:rRNA from 1 species